rnacentral:rRNA from 1 species
CACGCCGUAAACGAUGAGUACUAGGUGUAGGGGGUAUCGACCCCCCCUGUGCCGCAGUAAACACAAUAAGUACUCCGCCUGGGAAGUACGAUCGCAAGAUUAAAACUCAAAGGAAUUGACGGGGACCCGCACAAGCAGCGGAGCAUGUGGUUUAAUUCGAAGCAACGCGAAGAACCUUACCAGGCCUUGACAUCCAAUGAACUUUCUAGAGAUAGAUUGGUGCCUUCGGGAACAUUGAGACAGGUGC